UGCGCAGGCGGUUUGUUAAGCGAGAUGUGAAAGCCCCGGGCUCAACCUGGGAAUUGCAUUUCGAACUGGCAAACUAGAGUCUUGUAGAGGGGGGUAAAAUUCCAGGUGUAGCGGUGAAAUGCGUAGAGAUCUGGAGGAAUACCGGUGGCGAAGGCGGCCCCCUGGACAAAGACUGACGCUCAGGCACGAAAGCGUGGGGAGCAAACG
rnacentral:rRNA from 1 species